CGGCGUGUAGCUCAGCAGUAGAGCACCGGACUUCGGAUUCGGAGGGCGCAGGGGCAGCACCUGCCACGUCGGCAA
rnacentral:tRNA from 1 species